rnacentral:rRNA from 1 species
UGCGUAGGCGGUUUGUUAAGUCAGAUGUGAAAGCCCCGGGCUCAACCUGGGAACUGCAUUUGAAACUAUGUAGCUAGAGUUCUGUAGAGGGGGGUAGAAUUCCAGGUGUAGCGGUGAAAUGCGUAGAGAUCUGGAGGAAUACCGAUUGCGAAGGCAGCCCCCUGGACAGUGACUGACGCUCAUAUGCGAAAGCGUGGGGAUCAAACAGGAUUAGAUACCCCGGUA